AUUGAACGCUGGCGGCAUGCCUUACACAUGCAAGUCGAACGGCAGCGGACCUUCGGGUGCCGGCGAGUGGCGAACGGGUGAGUAAUAUAUCGGAACGUACCUCUCAGUGGGGGAUAACGUAGCGAAAGUUACGCUAAUACCGCAUAUUCUGUGAGCAGGAAAGCAGGGGAUCGCAAGACCUUGCGCUGAUUGAGCGGCCGAUAUCAGAUUAGCUAGUUGGUGAGGUAAAGGCUCACCAAGGCGACGAUCUGUAGCGGGUCUGAGAGGAUGAUCCGCCACACUGGAACUGAGACACGGUCCAGACUCCUACGGGAGGCAGCAGUGGGGAAUUUUGGACAAUGGGGGCAACCCUGAUCCAGCCAUGCCGCGUGAGUGAAGAAGGCCU
rnacentral:rRNA from 1 species